rnacentral:rRNA from 1 species
AUUGAACGCUGGCGGCAGGCUUAACACAUGCAAGUCGAGCGAGCGGCGGACGGGUGAGUAAUGUCUGGGAAACUGCCUGAUGGAGGGGGAUAACUAAUGGAAACGGUAGCUAAUACCGCAUACCAUCAGAUGUGCCCAGAUGGGAUUAGCUAGUAGGUGGGGUAAUGGCUCAUCUAGGCGACGAUCCCUAGCUGGUCUGAGAGGAUGACCAGCCACACGGGAACGGAGACACGGUCCAAAUUCCUACGGGCGUCAGCAGUGGGGAAUAGUGCACAAGGGGGGCAAGCCUGAUGCAGCCAGGCCGGGUGGGUGAAGAAGGCCGUCGGGUUGUAAAGCACUUUCAGCGAGGAGGCGUUACUCGCAGAAGAAGCACCGGCUAACUCCGUGCCAGCAGCCGCGGUAAUAC